UCCUGCCCAGUGACAUAAUUCAACGGCCGCGGUAUCCUAACCGUGCAAAGGUAGCAUAAUCACUUGUCUAUUAAUUGUAGACUAGAAUGAAAGGAAAACGAAAUAUAGUCUGUCUCUAUAAAACAAAAAAAUAUCUAACUGAAGAGUGUUAGAUAAAAUCGAAGGACAAGAAGACCCUAUAGAGCUUUAUCUAAACAAGAAAUAAUUUAUAGGAUUCGGUUGGGGCGACCAAGGAUAUCUUUAAUCAUCCUUCAUCAAUAGAUUUAUCAAUCCAAAUUUAGACAACCAACCUUAGGGAUAACAGGCUAAUCCUGCUAGAGAGUCCUUAUCUAAAGCAGGGAUUGGCACCUCGAUGUUGGCUUAGGGAAACUAUGUGACGCAAAAGUCACAUAAAGAUGGUUUGUUCAACCAAUAAAUCCCUACAUGAGCUGAGUUCAGACCGGCGUCCUAGCCAUAGUACGAAAGGACCUGGAUAAGGGUAAAUCAACAAAUGAAUUAAUAUAAUAAUUUCUAAUACUAAAAACUAU
rnacentral:rRNA from 1 species